rnacentral:lncRNA from 1 species
UUUUUUACAUAACAUCAUACAAAGUUUUAAACAAAAUAAAGCUAACAUCUCCUUUAUAUGUUUCGCCUUCCCAUAUCAUCCCCGUCCAUAAUCUCUGUAAUCAUGUGUACAAAAGCAUCAACAUAUAUCACAGUCUUCAAUCUUGUUUCCUCAAUAGUUUUUAUCUUAAAAUCAAUGCUGCAUCAAACGCCAAAAAUUUAACAAAUUCAGAGAGACAUCUAGAAGAAAAUAAAGAGAUAACUCAUACAUAUAUCAGUCUCUAAUUUUUUUUACAUGGUAAAGAGAUUCAAACUCAAUAGUGGUGAUGAAGCUCAUGGUAAUAAUAUUAAACAAAGAGGAUGCUAAACUAAUCCAUGUAUAUAAACCAAAUAACGAUAAACACACCACACCAUAGUAAACACACCACACCAUAGAAAACACAACAGUUUUAAAAUCAUCAGAAUAAAGAAAAGAAAAAAGCAAGGUAUUUAUAUUCUUAUAUUCUUAAGAAAAAAGCAUUCGUCCUCAACAUGUCCCACCUCUUUCUUAACAGCUCCUAAAGAUGAAGAAGAAUUGAUUUCCACUACCUGUUCUUGUAUAUUCUGCUCAGCUAUCUGUAAUAACAUUAAAACAAAGGUAUUUGGAGCAGCAGAGUAUUAACAUUAUUUCCACUUGUCUUAUAAACUGAUCUCUUCAUAUCACAAAGAGAAUACAUAACUACAAAAGACAACCUAUGUUUUUAUCAAAAUGUAAAACUAAUUAAGAUGUUAGAAAUAUCAAAAGCACCUGAAUUAUCCUUCCUUGUUCUUUAUUUUGCUAACCAUCAAGUCAUCCACAAAAAAUCCAUAAUAUCAAACGGAGAAAUUAACCAAACCAAGCACUAAAAUUCAAAUGUACAUGUCAUGCGAGGAAGAUACAAUGUUAAAUUAAGAAACUUAAUUAGUGUUAGAAGUAC